rnacentral:tmRNA from 1 species
GGGGGCGAUCCGGUUUCGACCGGGUAGCGGAAGCGACGGUGGCGUGCUGAGGUUGUCAGGAGGCCUCAUAAAACACCUGGCAAAAUAAGUACUUGCAGACUCUAACCUGCAAAUGGCUGCCUAGGAAACGAAGUAGCCCCUUCCGGAAGCCCAGCCUGCGGGGCAUCUAGUGAAGGUCACUUAGCAGGCUGGUCCUGAAGCUGAGCCCGUAGGCGGAUGGACGAGAAAAUUCACGGGCUGGCCCCGUACGAUCCUGCCUAUCGGAGCGGCCGGGGCGAGAUACAAAUGACAGGCUACGCACGUAGAAGCCUUCGUUAGCCCUGCCUCGGGACGCGGGUUCGAUUCCCGCCGCCUCCACCA